rnacentral:rRNA from 1 species
UAACCUGCCCAAGAUAUCGGGAUAACACCUGGAAACAGAUGCUAAUACCGGAUAACAACAGAUGAUGCCUAUCAACUGUUUAAAAGAUGGUUCUGCUAUCACUCUUGGAUGGACCUGCGGUGCAUUAGCUAGUUGGUAGGGUAACGGCCUACCAAGGCGAUGAUGCAUAGCCGAGUUGAGAGACUGAUCGGCCACAUUGGGACUGAGACACGGCCCAAACUCCUACGGGAGGCAGCAGUU